UACAGAGGUCCCAAGCGUUGUUCGGAUUCACUGGGCGUAAAGGGUGCGUAGGCGGUCGGGUAAGUCUGAUGUGAAAUCUCCGAGCCUAACUCGGAAACUGCAUUGGAUACUAUUCGGCUUGAGUGUAGGAGAGGUGGGCGGAAUUCCAGGUGUAGCGGUGAAAUGCGUAGAUAUCUGGAGGAACACCGGUGGCGAAGGCGGCAUCCUGGACCGGCAUUGACGCUGAGGAGCGAAAGCCAGGGGAGCAAACGGG
rnacentral:rRNA from 1 species